rnacentral:lncRNA from 1 species
UUUAAUAUAUAUCUACAUCGGAUGCAAAUAUAUAUACAUAUCUAGUAUAUGUAUAAGCAAUCACACCAGAUGAUCAUGGACCACAACCUAAUGUGAUUAGGCCCAAGCCAGUAGGCCUAAUCACUCACAUCAAGAUCUAUGUGUGCAACGGUGCAUCUCCAUGCCUUGUGAUCGUCCAUCUCGUCCUCGUUGGUUCCGUCGACAUCUUGAUGCAUCUUCAUGCAUCGCAAUCGUCCGUCUCGUGGGUCCCG